rnacentral:tRNA from 1 species
AAGUUGUUUGGCUGAUAGGAAAGCACGUGUUUUGAAAGCUCGCAAUAGAGGUUCGAAUCCUCUAAUAACUU